rnacentral:rRNA from 1 species
UACGGGGGGGGCAAGCGUUGUUCGGAAUUACUGGGCGUAAAGGGCUCGUAGGUGGCCAACUAAGUCGGACGUGGAAUCCCUCGGCUUAACCGGGGAACUGCGUCUGAUACUGGAUGGCUUGAGUUUGGGAGAGGGAUGCGGAAUUCCAGGUGUAGCGGUGAAAUGCGUAGAUAUCUGGAGGAACACCGGUGGCGAAGGCGGCAUCCUGGACCAACACUGACGCUGAGUGAGCGAAAGCCAGGGGAGCAAACGGG